UCGCUCACCACCUAUCUCUCACAACUUAAUAACUCUCUAUGUUUAGUCGAUUUUUUUCUCAAUCAUAACAAUUAUUCGCCUGUGAAUUAGGUUUUUCUUUCACUUCUUCUUCAAAGAGAUCCAUCACAAAUGAAAUUCUUAAACCUACAGUUUUGAGAUUUCUCUUAAUCGAAUCAGUAUAAAGAAAUCUAAGAAAAAGGGUUUUGAAUCAACGGCUUACUUCAUGAGAAACAACUUCUAAGGUAAUUGUGAUGGAGUUAGAUGAUGCUAUGAUACAACACUAGACCCUGAACAAGAAAAAGCUAGAGAAUUGUUGGGAGCUGCGAUAUGGGCUCAAAGAAAAAGAGUUACAAACCUACAAGCAGCGUAAGGGAAGUUAGUCUCUUUUCCCAAAUGUAUUUCUCACUACAUUACUUUAUGUUGCUGGAUUUUUAUCAGCCUGCUGACUUGUUGGAUUGUUCUUCUAGGUAACGACAACCACCUGUGGGGGACGAUCGGUUUCUUGCAUCAGUGAAUAUAAGAGGUAAUGAUGUGUGAUCUUGGACUAAGUUCAGAGCUGAAGUUGGCAUGCAAUUCUGCACUAAUGAAAGUUGUAGGGCCUAUAUCAUUGAUUUUGGACUGGCUAAAAUAUCGUGAGUCUACUACUAACCGCCAUAUUCCUUAUAGAUGCAAUGUAGCCGUAAAAUGUGUAACAAUUAAUCCCAGUAGAAGGAUCAAUGUAAUUAACUCAUCUGUGUUGCGUCACAUGAGUGCCAUCGUGGAGCAAAAUCCUAUUUCUGCACCUCAACAAGAUAGUGGAAAAUGUUGAAAGUACCAUGCUGCUGUUGAGUGGGCGCUGGGUUCAAGAUGACAAAAAAGAUAUUCCUCCCCAUGUCCGAGUGAAAACUUUGCUGCAUCACAACUUCUAUGAGUGACGGAAAAUGGAUCUUUUUGGCUGUGCUCUGGCUCAAGUUGAUGUGCUGGAUAUGCGCCACUUCGACACAAUUAUCAUAGACUUAGCCUGUCCGUACUCCAAGACAAACUUGCCACUGGGAAGGUGACGAGUUGUAUCAUUUUUUGCAGAGUCUCGCUCAAUGAAUCAUCUCAUGACCGGUCUACAUGUAGUGUGUUCUCGAUCUUCUUCUGCCCUCAGUUCUUGGAGGUGUUGUAGAUGUUGGAAACUCUUAUCUGCACUUGCUCGUUUGUUACUAAUUUGAGUUGCUGGAUACACUUGCUGGAUCCUCUUUGCUGGGCAGGAUGAUAACAAGUAAAGCCUGUCUUCAUGGAAGACAUUGUGACCUACGAAUUCACUUACUUGAAUUCCCUAGAUAUGGUGUAUGUGAAUGAUCAGUUCUUGAUCUGGGAUCCCGAACAUCAGAUUAUGACAGGAUAGUAUCAUUCCGAGUAUACCAUUCCUUGUUCAUGCACAAUACUGAUAUUGUGGCCAUAUAUGUGCAAAUAUGCUUUGCUUGAAGUAUCCUUUGUAUUGGAGCCCUUUUGUCAUAUUUCAAGUGGAAGCUUACUUCUUCACUAAAGAGGAUGAAGUUGUUGCUGGAAGUGCUCUUGCAGACAUGAUACUCAAAGAAACCAAUCUAUACUAGUGUUGCUGGAAGUGCUCUUGUACAAUUGAAAUUAAUGAGUGUAUUUUCAAAGUUUUAAUAUGUUAAUCUGGGGUAAUAUUUAGAUGUUGAGGUUGUAAACUGAAUCUACCUUUUAAUAUAAAUGUUAACUUUGUUU